rnacentral:rRNA from 1 species
CCUACGGGAGGCUGCAGUGAGGAAUAUUGGUCAAUGGGCGCGAGCCUGAACCAGCCAAGUCGCGUGAGGGAAGACGGUCCUAUGGAUUGUAAACCUCUUUUGUCGGGGAGCAAAAGGCGCCACGCGUGGCGUUUUGUGAGUACCCGAAGAAAAAGCAUCGGCUAACUCCGUGCCAGCAGCCGCGGUAAUACGGAGGAUGCGAGCGUUAUCCGGAUUUAUUGGGUUAAAGGGGCGCGCAGGCGGAAGAUCAAGUCAGCGGUAAAAUUGAGGGGCUCAACCUCAUAGAGCCGUUGAAACUGGUUGUCUUGAGUAAGCGAGAGGUAUGCGGAAUGCGUGGUGUAGCGGUGAAAUGCAUAGAUAUCACGCAGAACUCCGAUUGCGAAGGCAGCAUACCGGCGCUCAACUGACGCUGAUGCACGAAAGUGUGGGUAUCGAACAGGAUUAGAGACCCGAGUAGUC